CGGAUUGCAGGCUGCAACUCGCCUGCAUGAAGCUGGAAUCGCUAGUAAUCGCGGAUCGGAAUGCCGCGGUGAAUACGUUCCCGGGUCUUGUACACACCGCCCGUCACACCAUGGGAGUCGGAAAUGCCCGAAGUCUGUGACCCAACCUGAGAGGGAGGGAGCAGCCGAAGGCAGGUCUGAUGACUGGGGUGAAGUCGUAACAAGGUACC
rnacentral:rRNA from 1 species